rnacentral:rRNA from 1 species
UGAACGCUAGCUACAGGCUUAACACAUGCAAGUCGAGGGGCAGCAUGGAGUUGCUGCAAACUCUGAUGGCGACCGGCGCACGGGUGAGUAACGCGUAUCCAACCUUCCCUAUAGUAGAGGAUAGCCCGGCGAAAGUCGGAUUAAUACUCUAUGUUUUCCGUUGCAGACAUCUAAGAUGGAACAAAGGCUUGCCGCUAUAGGAUGGGGAUGCGUCUGAUUAGGUAGUCGGCGGGGUAACGGCCCACCGAGCCAUCGAUCAGUAGGGGUUCUGAGAGGAAGGUCCCCCACAUUGGAACUGAGACACGGUCCAAACUCCUACGGGAGGCAGCAGUGAGGAAUAUUGGUCAAUGGGCGAGAGCCUGAACCAGCCAAGUAGCGUGCAGGAUGACGGCCCUAUGGGUUGUAAACUGCUUUUAUGCGGGGAUAAAGUUCACUACGUGUAGUGUUUUGUAGGUACCGCAUGAAUAAGGACCGGCUAAUUCCGUGCCAGCAGCAGC